rnacentral:tRNA from 2 species
GUAAAUAUAGUUUAAGAAAAACAUUAGAUUGUGAAUCUAAUAAUAUGAGCUCAAGCCUCCUUAUUUACC